GGAGAGGUGGCUGAGCGGCCGAAAGCGGCGGUCUUGAAAACCGUUGGCCCGCAAGGGCCCGUGGGUUCGAAUCCCACCCUCUCCG
rnacentral:tRNA from 1 species